rnacentral:rRNA from 1 species
UACGGGGGGGGCGAGCGUUGUUCGGAAUUACUGGGCGUAAAGGGCGCGUAGGCGGCCUUCUAAGUCAGACGUGAAAUCCCCCGGCUUAACCUGGGAACUGCGUCUGAUACUGGGAGGCUUGAGUAUGGGAGAGGGAUGUAGAAUUCCAGGUGUAGCGGUGAAAUGCGUAGAUAUCUGGAGGAAUACCGGUGGCGAAGGCGGCAUCCUGGACCAUAACUGACGCUGAGGCGCGAAAGCUAGGGGAGCAAACGGG